UACGAAGGGAGCUAGCGUUGUUCGGAAUCACUGGGCGUAAAGCGCACGUAGGCGGUUUGUUGCGUCGGCUGUGAAAUCCCGAGGCUCAACCUCGGGUCUGCAGUCGAUACGAGCAAACUAGAGUGUUGCAGGGGAGACUGGAAUUCCUGGUGUAGCGGUGAAAUGCGCAGAUAUCAGGAGGAACACCGGUGGCGAAGGCGGGUCUCUGGGCAACAACUGACGCUGAGGAGCGAAAGCGUGGGGAGCGAACAGG
rnacentral:rRNA from 1 species